CCUACGGGAGGCAGCAGUGGGGAAUUGUUCACAAUGGGCGCAAGCCUGAUGACGCAACGCCGCGUGGGGGAUGAAGGUCUUCGGAUCGUAAACCCCUGUCGAAUGGGACGAAAGACUCGGGAGCUAAUCAUCCUGAGAGUGACGGUACCGUUAAAGGAAGCCACGGCUAACUCUGUGCCAGCAGCCGCGGUAAUACAGAGGUGGCAAGCGUUGUUCGGAAUUACUGGGCGUAAAGGGCGCGUAGGCGGCCUUCUAAGUCAGACGUGAAAUCCCCCGGCUUAACCUGGGAACUGCGUCUGAUACUGGGAGGCUUGAGUAUGGGAGAGGGAUGUAGAAUUCCAGGUGUAGCGGUGAAAUGCGUAGAUAUCUGGAGGAAUACCGGUGGCGAAGGCGGCAUCCUGGACCAUAACUGACGCUGAGGCGCGAAAGCUAGGGGAGCAAACGGGAUUAGAUACCCCGGUAGUCCUAGCCCUAAACGAUGAAUACUUGGUGUGGCGGGUAUCGAUCCCUGCCGUGCCGAAGCUAACGCAUUAAGAUUCCGCCUGGGGAGUACGGUCGCAAGGCUGAAACUUCAAAUUGAAAUUGAGGCUUGGNGAGNGCGAGGACGACGACGAGGGAGAGG
rnacentral:rRNA from 1 species